rnacentral:rRNA from 1 species
UACGUAGGGGGCAAGCGUUGUCCGGAAUUACUGGGCGUAAAGAGCUCGUAGGUGGUUUGUCGCGUUGUUCGUGAAAACCUGAGGCUUAACCUUGGGCGUGCGGGCGAUACGGGCAGACUGGAGUACUGCAGGGGAGACUGGAAUUCCUGGUGUAGCGGUGGAAUGCGCAGAUAUCAGGAGGAACACCGGUGGCGAAGGCGGGUCUCUGGGCCGAUACUGACGCUGAGGAGCGAAAGCGUGGGGAGCAAACAGG